AACGAACGCUGGCGGCAUGCCUAACACAUGCAAGUCGAACGAGACCUUCGGGUCUUGGGGCGCUCGUGUGCGUAACGCGUGGGAACUUGCACGUAGGUUCCCAAUCCCUGACCGAAGGGGGUCCUCAUACCAGUUAAUCUCUUCGCGCCAAAGAUUUCUCGCUAUUGGAUGGGCGCGCGUUGGAUUCGCGAGUUGGUAGGGGAAUAGCCGACCAAGGGGAGGAUGCAUAGCUGGUCGGGGAGGAUGAUCAGCCACACUGGGACUGAGACACGGCCCAGACUCCUACGGGAGGGAGCAGUGGGUAAUAUUGGACAAUGGGCGAAAGCCUGAUCAAGCAAUGCCGCGGGAGUGAUGAAGGCCUUAGGGUUGUGAAGCUGUUUUACCCGGGAUGAUAAUGACAGUACUGGGUGAAGAAGCACCGGCUAACUACGUG
rnacentral:rRNA from 1 species